UUUAAUGGCUGCAGUAAUUUGACUGUACAAAGGUAGCAUAAUCAUUAGUUUUUUAAUUGAAAGCUUGUAUGAAAGGUUAGACGAAAAAAAAUCUGUUUCUAAUUAAUUUAGUUAGAAUUUAAUUUUUAAGUGAAAAAGCUUAAAUAUUUAUAAAAGACGAGAAGACCCUAUAGAAUUUUAUAUAUAAUUUAAUAAAUUUAAUUAAUAUUUAUUAAUUUUAUAUUUUAUUAUAUAUUUUAUUGGGGUAAUAAAAAGAUUAAUAUAAUUCUUUUUUAAUUAUUAUAUUUAUAUAUAUUUAUUUGAUCCAUUAUUAAUGAUUAUAAGAAUAAAUUACCUUAGGGAUAACAGCGUAAUUUUUUUAGAGAGUUCAUAUUAAUAAAAAAGUUUGCGACCUCGAUGUUGGAUUAAAGAUUAUUUUAGGUGCAAAAGUUUAAAAAAUUGGUCUGUUCGACCAUUAAAUCUUU
rnacentral:rRNA from 1 species